rnacentral:rRNA from 1 species
AUCUGGGCGGCGAAAUUCAGGAUGGCUGGCGGGCUUCGCGCUUGUCCGGCCGUUUGAUGUUUUCGUCGCCGUUCGCAGACGUCGCGACCUGUUUGUCGUCGGUCCCUGCUCGGAGGAGCCGUUGUCGAGUUCGUUGUGGGCGCGUUUCGGCGCGUUUCACGGCGAAGGCGCGCGGAUCUCUGGCUGACGACGGACAGUAAGCAACGGUGUCCGACGCCGUGUCUCGCACUCGGCGUCGGUGCCGGUCGGCGACGAUUUCUUCGGGCCUCUUUCCGACCCGUCUUGAAACACGGACCAAGGAGUCUAACAUGCGCGCGAGUCGCGGGGUAUCGAGCGUACCACGGUGCGCUCGUUACGUCACGAAACCCGUACGUUGAAGGCGUAAUGAAAGUGAAUGGGGAAGAUGGCGUUUCCGAGUUCACGUUCCGCGAUCUCGUAUCGCGGCCGGACGCCCGCAUUCCCGGGGCGUCUCAACGGCUCGUCGCGAAUGCGGACGGUCGCCUUUCGGGGUGGCCGUCGGUUUGCGACGGACCGA